CCUACGGGAGGCAGCAGUGAGGAAUAUUGGUCAAUGGCCGCAGGGCUGAACCAGCCAAGUCGCGUGAGGGAUGACGGUCCUAUGGAUUGUAAACCUCUUUUGUCAGGGAGCAAAGGGCGCCACGUGUGGCGCUUUGCGAGUACCUGAAGAAAAAGCAUCGGCUAACUCCGUGCCAGCAGCCGCGGUAAUACGGAGGAUGCGAGCGUUAUCCGGAUUUAUUGGGUUUAAAGGGUGCGCAGGCGGAAUGUCAAGUCAGCGGUAAAAUUUCGGGGCUCAACCCCGUCGUGCCGUUGAAACUGGGGUUCUUGAGUGAGCGAGAAGUAUGCGGAAUGCGUGGUGUAGCGGUGAAAUGCAUAGAUAUCACGCAGAACUCCGAUUGCGAAGGCAGCAUACCGGCGCCCAACUGACGCUGAAGCACGAAAGCGUGGGUAUCGAACAGGAUUAGAUACCCUGGUAGUC
rnacentral:rRNA from 1 species